GGCAGAUACAACAUUGUCUUUGUGUAUCUCGAUUCCCUUGCUGUCAAAUUAGAAAAGGCAAGCCCUGUAAUCAAACGAAAGCGUUUUGAAAAGUAUUCCUUCGUGAAACACUGCAGGCAGCUGAUGAGGAAAUACAUUUGAUAUUUCACGGUUUUCGGCGAAGUCUUGAACCACAACUUGAAAUAAAGGGAUUAAAAUAAAAAACACCAAACGUUCACUGAACUGUGCAAAGAGACAAAGACUACGUCUGCCUAAUUAGAGAGUGUUUACCGAGACAUUUUAAUUUUUGUUUAAAAAAUACUCUAAAGUUGACGAGGAGCCGGGGGCAGUGGCCCGCUCCACGCCUCCGGCGCCAGCAGCGUUUGCUGCAGGGGUCUCGCACGGAGCCGCCGGCAGAGGGAGGUGGGAUGCGCCUGUCCUGGAGCCCGGACACUCGCUGAUGCCCGAGGACCUUUCAAUCUCUAUUAUUUUGAAGAAAUCUACAUUUGUCCUGCUGACAGUGUAGGGAGAAGUUAUUCCUCACUAUAGUGGCAUUAGAGGAUACCCUCAGCAGGUUUGCUACAGAAGCUCUCGUAUCAUGUGUCCUGUUGUCCUGAUACCCACUGCUUUGUUUGGGUCUGACUUCUUCACAGAGUUCUGAGGAUAUUUUCUGGUUGCUGAUGAGAGCAGAGAAGAAGAGAGGAUCUUGCACUGAAAGGAAGAAAAACACCACAUAAUCUGCUUCACUCUGAGUUUUGUGUUUGGAAAAUAAGGACGUGGAAGAGGUCCAUCUUUGCUGCCAUUUGGAUACAAUUACAAGAAAAAUUAAAAAGGGGCAGAAGACCCCAGAGAAGACUGAAGACCCUUUCCCAAGCCCUCACAGGACAAGUGCUGCUGAGGCUGGAGCAAACCUUACUCUGCUGCAGGCAGACUUCUGCCUUAGACUCAGUGGCUCCUGGCAAGUAAAAUUACAGCAAGUACUACAGUGAUUUGCAGAAGUAAAUGUUUAUUUCACCACUAAAAUGCAAAUGUCUGGUGUAGUCCCACAAAGUGUACACGCCUGCUGAUGGCACUUGUUUGUGGCUGUCCAAGUUUAGAUUAUUUUUGCCUCUCAAAUUUAAUAAUUUUGACAAGUUAAUUUCAGCCUGUUCUUGACAAGGAAAGUACCUGU